GGGCUUGUGGUCUAAUCCGGCAUGACGCCUCGUUCGCAACGAGGAGACUCCGGGUUCAAAUCCCGGCAAGUCCA
rnacentral:tRNA from 1 species